rnacentral:misc_RNA from 1 species
GGGAGGUGUUGUUAUUUUGAGCUGGGGAAGCAAGUGCAUGCUGGUGUUGUAAAGGGUGGAUUAAGUAAUUUGAUCUUAGAUAGUUCGGUUGUGUCUUUUUACGCGCAAUGUGGGGAUUUGGCAAGUGCUUUCCGCGUUUUUGACGUGAUAAAACGCCCUGAUGUAGUUUGUUGGACAACUAUGAUCACUGCUUGUUCACAGCAUGGG